CUACGGAGGGUGCAAGCGUUAAUCGGAAUUACUGGGCGUAAAGCGUACGUAGGCGGUUAUUUAAGUCGGAUGAGAAAGCCCCGGGCUUAACUUGGGAACUGCAUUUGAAACUGGGUAACUAGAGUUUAGUAGAGGGGAGUGGAAUUUCAGGUGUAGCGGUGAAAUGCGUAGAGAUCUGAAGGAACACCAGUGGCGAAGGCGACUCCCUGGACUAAAACUGACGCUGAGGUACGAAAGCGUGGGUAGCAAACAGGAUUAGAAACCCUAGUAGUCC
rnacentral:rRNA from 1 species